UACAGAGGUCUCAAGCGUUGUUCGGAUUCAUUGGGCGUAAAGGGUGCGUAGGUGGCGCGCUAAGUCGGGUGUGAAAUCUCGGAGCUUAACUCCGAAACUGCAUUCGAUACUGCCGUGCUUGAGGACUGGAGAGGAGACUGGAAUUUACGGUGUAGCGGUGAAAUGCGUAGAUAUCGUAAGGAAGACCAGUGGCGAAGGCGGGUCUCUGGACAGUUCCUGACACUGAGGCACGAAGGCCAGGGGAGCAAACGGG
rnacentral:rRNA from 1 species